ensembl:snRNA U6 U6 spliceosomal RNA
GUGCUCGCUUUGGCAGCACAUAUAUAAAAUUGGAACGAUACAGAGAAGAUUAGCAUGGCCCCUGUGCAAAGAUGACACGCAAAUUUGUGGAAUGUUCCCUUUUUUU